rnacentral:misc_RNA from 1 species
UUAGAGGGUCUGCAGAG